rnacentral:rRNA from 1 species
ACCUGGGAACUGCGCUUGUGACUGCCAGACUCGAGUACGGCAGAGGGGGGUGGAAUUCCACGUGUAGCAGUGAAAUGCGUAGAGAUGUGGAGGAACACCGAUGGCGAAGGCAGUCCCCUGGGUCGAUACUGACGCUCAUGCACGAAAGCGUGGGGAGCAAACAGGAUUAGAUACCCUGGUAGUCCACGCCCUAAACGAUGCCAACUAGGUGUUGGGGAAGGAGACUUCCUUAGUACCGUAGCUAACGCGUGAAGUUGGCCGCCUGGGGAGUACGGUCGCAAGAUUAAAACUCAAAGGAAUUGACGGGGACCCGCACAAGCGGUGGAUGAUGUGGAUUAAUUCGAUGCAACGCGAAAAACCUUACCUACCCUUGACAUGCCAGGAACUUGCCAGAGAUGGCUUGCUGCUCGAAAGAGAGCCUGGACACAGGUGCUG